CAAAUGNGUUCAGGUAGUAAGGUCAAGUC
rnacentral:piRNA from 1 species